CAGAAUGCCGCGGUGAAUACGUUCCCGGGCCUUGUACACACCGCCCGUCACACCAUGGGAGUUUGUUGCACCAGAAGUAGCUAGCCUAACUGCAAAGAGGGCGGUUACCACGGUGUGGCCGAUGACUGGGGUGAAGUCGUAACAAGGUAGCCGUAGGGGAACCUGCGGCUGGAUCACCUCCUUAA
rnacentral:rRNA from 1 species